CGCGCUCCCGCGGCCGAAAAGACCCAGGUGCGCGGCCCUCCGAGCCGGCGCUACUGCCGCGGUCUGGACCAGACACCUAUCGCGACCCAGCUCCGCGCUCGCGCAGAUGGAUCUUCUUCGGGCGGUGUUGAGGAAAGGAAGAGUGACAGGUCCCCAGGCCUUUCCCACUGUAGGGCAUCGCCACGGGAGCAUGUGAGGAGCAGUCACCGUGACUCCUUACAGUCAAGGCCAAGUCACCACUGCAGAUGGCCGCCCCUCCUGUGGAAAACCCAGAAGCAGAGCUGAGAGGCUUGGAACCCCAGUGACUUCUCCCCCUGGUCUACAGCCUCUUCCCCUUCGUGCUCUUCUGGUCUUUACUUCCCAGCAUAAGAACCAUUUCCUCCAA